rnacentral:rRNA from 1 species
UACGGGGGGGGGCAAGCGUUGUUCGGAAUUACUGGGCGUAAAGGGCUCGUAGGUGGCCAACUAAGUCAGACGUGAAAUCCCUCAGCUUAACUGGGGAACUGCGUCUGAUACUGGAUGGCUUGAGUUUGGGAGAGGGAUGCGGAAUUCCGAGGUGUAGCGGUGAAAUGCGUAGAUAUCUGGAGGAACACCGGUGGCGAAGGCGGCAUCCUGGACCAAUACUGACACUGAGGAGCGAAAGCCAGGGGAGCAAACGGG